rnacentral:lncRNA from 1 species
GUUAGUGUUAGGACAACUCCUGCCUCCCUAAGCAAAAGAGUGCUGGGGGUGGGAACACAUGGCAGGGGAGAAGCCCGAGCAGAAACUCUAACGUGGGCUUCCUAAGUUCCUGAAGAAAAAAGGUUUCAGUAUGUGGCAUGUACAAAGAGCUGGAGCGUUUAUGAAGUGCACAAAAUAUAUUGCAGUCCAAUUGGAUAAAAUCCCAUAUGAACCAAGAUAAAUAUAUUCUUUAUGUCUCCUUUAAAAAAUAAGUCAAAACAGGAGUUUCCAUCAAGGCUCAGCAGUAUCCAUGAGGACUCAGGUUCAAUCCUUGGUCUUGCUCAGUGGGUCAAGGAUCCAGCGUUGCUGUGAGCUGUGGUGUAGGUCACAGACACAGCUUGGAUUCCGCAUGGCUGUAGCUGUGGUGUAGGCCAGCAGCUGUAGUUCUGAUUCGACCCCUAGCCUGGGAACUUCCAUAUGCCUCAGGUGCAGCCCUAAAAAGACAAGGAAAAAAAAAAAGAGUCAAAACAAAACCAAAAAAUGAAAUCACAAACAUCCAUGCCAGUUUUUCUUUUUCUUUUCUCCUUUCCUUUUUUUUUUUUUUUUUUGAUCUUUUUAGGGCCACACCUGUGGCAUAUGGAGGUUCUCAGGCUAGGGGAUGAAUCGAAGCUGCAGCCACCGGCCUACACCACAGCCACAGCAAAGCAGGAUCCGAGCUGUGUCUGUGACCUACACCACAGCUCACAGUGACACCGGAUCCUUAACCCACUGAAUGAGGCCAGGGAUGGAACCCAUGUCCUCAUGAACACUAGCCAGGUUUGCUAAUCACUAAGCCACAACGGGAAUUCCCAUGCCAGUCUUUCCCUAUGUUUCAGCUGCCAGAGGUUUAUUUAAAUGCUUUCUGGGGAUCUGCUGAGUGUCAGGUCCUGGAGAGAGUUGAGUGGGAUCCCUGAGACAAGAAUCCGAGUGCAGGUCUCAAGACUACCAACGGACAUUUAUGAGGCCGGUAGUCCCUGCUGUGCACAGCUACCUCUUCUGUUAUCUGAAGACCUAGCAUUGAUAGUGCGCUUGGUACUCCGUGAUGUGAUGGAUGGUGUCUGUGUUCCUACAAAGCAGUGCCUCUGAUGGAGAGAUGGCUUGAUUGGAAUGGCAGCGGUGGAGAGAGUGAGUAGACAGAUUUGAAUGGUGUUUGAUGGAAUAAAUUACUUAGAAGUGCCA